UAGAUGGAUAACUGGUGUGUCUCCUGGUCUUCAAAACCAGUGUGGGGCGUUAGGAGCGUCCUGGGUGGGUUCGAUUCCCACAUGCC
rnacentral:tRNA from 1 species